GGGCAAGAUAGGUGAAGUUAGCUAACCAGCAAGCUGGUCAUCAACCUUCACAAGCCUUAUUCGCACCUUCGGUGCUCAACGGGGAUCCAGUGAUUUGAGGUC
rfam:Legionella geestiana strain ATCC 49504 Lgee_ctg007, whole genome shotgun sequence.